GAUGGACGCUGGCGGCGUGCCUAAUACAUGCAAGUCGAGCGAACGGACGAGAAGCUUGCUUCUCUGAUGUUAGCGGCGGACGGGUGAGUAACACGUGGAUAACCUACCUAUAAGACUGGGAUAACUUCGGGAAACCGGAGCUAAUACCGGAUAAUAUUUUGAACCGCAUGGUUCAAAAGUGAAAGACGGUCUUGCUGUCACUUAUAGAUGGAUCCGCGCUGCAUUAGCUAGUUGGUAAGGUAACGGCUUACCAAGGCAACGAUGCAUAGCCGACCUGAGAGGGUGAUCGGCCACCCUGGAACUGAGACACGGUCCAGACUCCUACGGGAGGCAGCAGUAGGGAAUCUUCCGCAAUGGGCGAAAGCCUGACGGAGCAACGCCGCGUGAGUGAUGAAGGUCUUCGGAUCGUAAAACUCUGUUAUUAGGGAAGAACAUAUGUGUAAGUAACUGUGCACAUCUUGACGGUACCUAAUCAGAAAGCCACGGCUAACUACGUG
rnacentral:rRNA from 1 species